UUUAUUAAGAAUGGUGGAGGGACUGGCCCUGUGAAACCUAGCAACCUACUAUGUUUGAUUUUUAUUUUAUAAAUAGUGUGGUGCUAAAUCCUGCAAGCUUAGCUUGAUAAAUAAG
rnacentral:ncRNA from 1 species